GACGAACGCUGGCGGCGUGCUUAACACAUGCAAGUCGAACGGAAAGGCCCUGCUUGCGUGGUACUCGAGUGGCGAACAGGUGUGUAUAACAUGGGUGAACUCCCCUGCACUUCGUGAUAAACCUUGGGAACUGUGUCUAUUACAGGAUAUAGGCCCUUUUGAGUGAGGUUGUUGGUUGGAUUUUUCGGUGUAGGAUGGGCUCACGGCCUAUCAGCUUGUUGGUGGGGUAGUGGCUUACCAAGGCGGCGACGGGUAGCCGGCCUGAGAGGGUGGACGGCCACAUUGGGACUGAGAUACGGCCCAGACUCCUACGGGAGGCAGCAGUGGGGAAUAUUGCACAAUGGGCGGAAGCCUGAUGCAGCAACGCCGCGUGGGGGAUGACGGCCUUCGGGUUGUAAACUGCUUUCGCUUGUGACGAAGCGUGUGUGACGGUAACGAGAAAAGAAGCACCGGCUAACUACGUG
rnacentral:rRNA from 1 species